rnacentral:rRNA from 1 species
UGUAACUACUCUCAACAAUGGAUAUCUCGGCUCUCACGUCGAUGAAAAACAUAGCAAAAUGCCGUACUUUGUGUGAAUUGGAGAAUCCCGUGAACAUCGAGUCUUUGAAUGCAAGUUAAGCAUGAAGCCUUCUAAUCGAGUGCACAUCUGCUGGAUGUCACGC